AGAACGAACGCUGGCGGCAUGCCUAACACAUGCAAGUCGAACGCUUGCCGGGCUUCGGUUCGGCAGGAGUGGCGCACGGGUGAGUAGCGCGUGGGAACCUGCCCUGUUGUGGGGGAUAACCGAGGGAAACUUCGGCUAAUACCGCAUACGCCGGGAAACCGGGAAAGAUUUAUCGCAGCAGGAGGGGCCCGCGUCGGAUUAGCUAGUUGGCGGGGUAACGGCCCACCAAGGCACCGAUCCGUAGCUGGUCUGAGAGGAUGAUCAGCCACACUGGGACUGAGACACGGCCCAGACUCCUACGGGAGGCAGCAGUGGGAAUAUUGGACAAUGGGCGCAAGCCUGAUCCAGCAAUGCCGCGUGAGUGAUGAAGGCCUUAGGGUUGUAAAGCUCUUUCGCCCGCGACGAUGAUGACGGUAGCGGGAGAAGAAGCCCCGGCUAACUUCGUGCCAGCAGCCGC
rnacentral:rRNA from 1 species